UCAAUACCCAGACUUGCUGUCAUUCAGCUUGCACCUUGAUUUAUUCAAUGUCUGCUCCAUUUCACGCAUUAAAGUAUCCUUGCUUGCAUCACGAGGUGUGUGGGUGCCCUGUUGAAUGGAAUAGUCCCCCUGAGCCACCCACCAAAUACGUGAGAUCACCAACUAAUGUCCAAAAGAUAUAUCCAAAACCCAUCUGUGAGCUACACACGUUCAUCACUUCCCACCCUUGAGGAACAGAAUCAAGAGAACGAGAAGACGUUGUUGUUGGGUUCAG